AUCAGAAUUAAUUCAAUGGGCUUUAAAAUACUCAAUUCCCCACGUAGCCUUAACGGAUUUGAUAAUUUUAUUAAAAAAUAAACUUAAGCUUGAAGAACUACCUAGAGACAGUAGAACUUUAAUUAGAACACCAAGCUCCUGUUCCAUAGUACCAAUGGGAGAUGGUCAUUUCUGGUAUAAUGGGAUCCAAAAAAACUUGUAUCAGCAAUCAUUUUUAACCGAGUUAAAUAAGGAUAAAGAUAUUUCUUCUAUUUCUCUUAUUUUUAACAUUGAUGGACUGCCUCCGUUUAAUAGUUCUCCUUUACAAUUUUAGCCAAUAUUACUCAAAGUACAUGAAUACCCUAAAUUAAAGCCAAUGGCUAUUGCUGUUUAUUGUGGACCAACGAAACCCCCUAUUCAAGAAUAUUUUAUUUGAUUCACUACAUUUAUUUGACUUAGGUAUUAUGAAGAAGUGCCUUAAUGGAUGGGUUUAUGGUAAUUACAAUUUUAAAACCAAAUUCUCUGGCAGAGAUAUUGAAUAUCUCUCAUAAAUGUUAAUAUCAUGUAACAUCAGAAGGCCAACUGAACUUCACAGAGCAAUAAGACGACUAAAGAAUUUAAAAUUUUGGAAAGGAUCUAAAUAUCGGACGUUUUUACUUUACUUGGGACCAGUACUCCUUAAAGAUAUUUUAGCUGGUCCAUAUCAAAAUUAUAUUUAUUUAUUUUAUGCUACUACUAUUUUGAGUUGUUCAGCUUAUUUAAAACACAUUAUUGUAGCUGAGAAAUUGUUAUUUCAGUUUACUACAACAUUUAGUAAUUUAUAUGGCAAGGAUGCUAUUGGGAGCAACGUGCACAAUCUGUGCCAUGUUGUGAAUGACGUUAAAAAGUUUGGUUCUCUAACUGAUAUAAGUGCAUAUCCUUUUGAAAAUUUUUUAUUUAGUUUAAAAUCAUUAGUUCGUACUGGUAAAAGGUCAUUAGCACAAAUUGCCAAACGGCUGACAGAAAUGCAAAGCUUAAAAAUAGAUGCUUUUCCUGGUUUAGUAACUCCUUAUGCGACAAAUGAAAUUUUAAAGAAAAAACCAGAGUCUUUAGCACUUGCAGGAUACAGGUUAUACAAAACCAUUUGUGUGUCAGAAAAUAUUAUGUUAUCUAAUAAUAUUAAAAAUAAAUGGUUUAU